AUCCAAGAAUGAAUUGGUUCUAGAGCAUCCAAAUUAUGCAUGUGAACAGGUGAAAAAAGCAAUUGAGCUCAACUGCUUUGCCAUUCUCUUGAUUGAUGACUACCACAAUGUUCAUGCCAAGAAAGUGCCAACAAAACUGAUAACAUCAACAGCGACUCAAAUGGAUUCCUGCUUGUUGGACAUCUACCCGACAAUUCCUGCAGUACCAUAUCCACAGCAAACCCCACUUCACAGGCCU